UUUAAUACAAUCUACUAGCCCAAUGAAACCCAAUAAAAACCUGCCUUUGAAGUGCCCUUAGUAAAAUAAGCCCGAAGAGAAAGAGAAUUAAAAAGUUCGAAAUUAAAUAGCCCAGUCUGAAAUUAGUUAGCGUAAAGGGAAGAGAAGAACCCUAGUUAGGAUCAAUGGAGAAAGAGAACCAGAGUUGCAUGAGAUCACUUGCAAGAGCAUUCAUGUCAGGUCGCAAAGAUGAUAUCUUGUUCUUGAUGAGCCGGUUGAUCUUAAGGCAAAGACGUUCCGGUGAUUGGUAUCUUCCCCGAUGAAGUCGUUGGUUACGCUCCCACCAGAUCUCAUAGAUGAUCGCCUGCCAGGAGAGGAUGGAGAGGUACUUGUGCUGCUUGGAUCCCGCAAAGGACAGGAGAGAGUGAGACAGAGGGGGUCUGUUUGUAAUCCCCAAGAAAUAAGACGAUCUCGAGUAGGGCUUCUAUUGAGUUGCAUCAGCCAAGCGAGGGAGCAAUGUUUCGGGAUCCCUUUCUUUAGCCAGAUCAGAGGGAACCAAGGAACAGUGGGGGCAUGAUCAAAGAAUGGUAGAAGAAGAGAAUGAAGAUUGCACCCGUCCAUUGAUGAUCCACUGGAGAAAUCAAAGUGAGAUAGGUUAGUAGAUCCUCCAUCUGUUGUGAUCUAGCUGGUCGAAAGGACCAGGCACCAUUAAUCCAGUGAUCUGCGACGGUCCAUUAGUACCAAUGAAGGAGAUCAGCUGACCAAACUUGGUCCAUGGGUCCAGCCAGAAUUUGAUGUUGGUUCCAUAACCAGGAGUUAAGCGAAUCCACUGGAGGAUAGUCUUUCUUUCCGCAAGCAGUCUCUUGAAUAACCAGGAGCCACAAGAGCUUGAUGGUGCAUGUUUUAUUCCAUAGCGCCAGGUUCCGCAAGCCUAGACCUCCAUUUCUCUUAGGUAACGUUACUUUGUCCCAAGCAACACGAGCUACAUAUUUACGUGCCUUUCCAGAGAAAUGCAUUGCACAUUUUAUCUAUAAGGUUUAUGCAUUCCUUAGGAAGAAUGAA